rnacentral:rRNA from 1 species
CCCUUAGAUGUUCUGGGCCGCACGCGCGCUACACUGACGAAGUCAGCGAGCAUGUCCUACGCCGACAGGUGCGGGGAAUCUUUUCAAACUUCGUCGUGAUGGGGAUUGAUUUUUGAAAUUCUUGAUCAUAAACGAGGAAUUCCUAGUAAGCGCAAGUCAGCAGCUUGCGUUGAUUACGUCCCUGCCCUUUGUACACACCGCCCGUCGCUACUACCGAUUGAAUGGUUUAGUGAGAUCUUCGGAUUGGCGCCACUGCAGCUCAGCAAUGGGCUUGGUGGAUGCCGAAAAGUUGAUCAAACUUGAUCAUUUAGAGGAAGUAAAAGUCGUAACA